rnacentral:lncRNA from 1 species
AGACGGAUGGGCCCUGCUAAUGCGAGGCAUGAGGUCAAACUGCCUGGUCAUAGGUAGGAAAGGAUGAAGACAAGCUAUGGGGAUAGUGGGGAGCCACGGUAGGUAUAGGAGUAGGGCUGUGUCCUCAGGUGGUAGAUCAGGUCCAGCAGGGGCCUUCCAAAGUGCCAUACCCCCCAGGAGUAGUAGGGACACCUGGGGCCAGGGGAGUGCCCUUCCUUGGGGGUAAAUGACCUGUGGAUGGGGAAAAGGGCAGUGAUGGCGCUUGUUUUAUUGUUUCUUCCCACCAGGCCGGCUCGCAGGGGCUGCCCCUGUGCCCAUGAUGGGGAUGGGGAUGCCAAGGCCCAGUGGGAUCUCCCAGGCCCAGAAUGGCAGCAGGGAUGGCUGUCCUUGUCCCAUGCUCCAGGGAACACUGGCCCCUCCAGCCUGGCUACGACAAGCCCUCCUGCUACAGGUAGGGAAACUGAGGCCUCGAAGCGCCCCCUCCAACACACCAUGUGAGCCAGGUCGGGAGUGGCUGGUGGGUAGUAUGGCUCAGGAAAGGGGAGGCGGAGGCGACCCGGGCUGGAGGACUUAAGCCCCGGCUCAGCCUUUGGCCCUAGCUUCCACAGCAGCUUCUCAGACCCAGGGGCCCAGCCCCACCUCCUGCCUGGUGGCUGGGCCUGGCUCGCUCUCUCGCAGCCCUAAUGUUCUCUUUUGUAAAAUGAGAAAACGUGGCCGUGCGCCCUAACUGGCUGUGAUGCGAAGCGAGUCCAUGAGCCCGAUGCGGAUGCCCGGGUCUGUAGCCCACGUGGAUGUCCCGCCGCACCCGGUGGGGCGGGAACCCAAGGGCAGGGAUGGCUCGGGCCUUGAACCCGAGACCUCCCAGUACUAGGCGGGCGCGCCCCUCCUCCCUGCGCCCCUCCUUCUUGGCGCGGGUGGGGUGAGGGGCGGGGCGUGGGCGGGGCUGCGGCUCUUUUCUCCGGAGUUCGCGCGCCCCGAGCCCUCGCCGACCGCCACUGUCCGAGUUGACUCCGCACCGGUGAGUGCGGCUCCGGGGCGUGGUGCGGGCUCUCUGGGGACUGCGGUGGGCCCGGUGUGCCGGCUCUUGUGUCCCCGCUGACCUUC